GAUGAACGCUGACAGAAUGCUUAACACAUGCAAGUCAUUGGCGAAGCUGCGCUUGCGCAGUCUAGCCAAGGCGGACGGGUGAGUAACGCGUAAGGAACUUGCCCUGCAGACAGGGAUAACAGACGGAAACGACUGAUAACACCUGGUAUUGUCAGGCUGGCGCAUGCCGGCCUGAUGAAAGGAGACACUGCAGGAGAGCCUUGCGUCCUAUUAGCUAGUUGGUGGGGUAACGGCCCACCAAGGCGAUGAUAGGUAGCCGGCCUGAGAGGGUGAACGGCCACAAGGGGACUGAGAUACGGCCCUUACGCCUACGGGAGGCAGCAGUGGGGAAUAUUGGACAAUGGGGGCAACCCUGAUCCAGCAAUUCUGUGUGCACGAAGAAGGUUUUCGGAUUGUAAAGUGCUUUCAGCGGGGAAGAAGAAAGUGACGGUACCUGCAGAAGAAGCGACGGCUAAAUACGUG
rnacentral:rRNA from 1 species